CCUACGGGAGGCAGCAGUGGGGAAUAUUGCACAAUGGGGGGAACCCUGAUGCAGCAACGCCGCGUGGGUGAAGAAGUAUUUCGGUAUGUAAAGCCCUGUCAGCAGGGAAGAAGAUGACGGUACCUGACCAAGAAGCCCCGGCUAACUACGUGCCAGCAGCCGCGGUAAUACGUAGGGGGCAAGCGUUAUCCGGAUUUACUGGGUGUAAAGGGAGCGUAGACGGCAGGGCAAGUCUGGAGUGAAAGGCCGGGGCCCAACCCCCGGACUGCUCUGGAAACUGCCGGGCUGGAGUGCAGGAGAGGUAAGUGGAAUUCCUAGUGUAGCGGUGAAAUGCGUAGAUAUUAGGAGGAACACCAGUGGCGAAGGCGGCUUACUGGACUGUAACUGACGUUGAGGCUCGAAAGCGUGGGGAGCAAACAGGAUUAGAUACCCUAGUAGUC
rnacentral:rRNA from 1 species